rnacentral:rRNA from 1 species
GGACGAACGCUGGCGGCGUGCUUAACACAUGCAAGUCGAACGGAAAGGCCCUGCUUUUGUGGGGUGCUCGAGUGGCGAACGGGUGAGUAACACGUGAGUAACCUGCCCUUGACUUUGGGAUAACUUCAGGAAACUGGGGCUAAUACCGGAUAGGAGCUCCUGCUGCAUGGUGGGGGGUGGAAAGUUUCGGCGGUUGGGGAUGGACUCGCGGCUUAUCAGCUUGUUGGUGGGGUAGUGGCUUACCAAGGCUUUGACGGGUAGCCGGCCUGAGAGGGUGACCGGCCACAUUGGGACUGAGAUACGGCCCAGACUCCUACGGGAGGCGGCAGUGGGGAAUAUUGCACAAUGGGCGGAAGCCUGAUGCAGCAACGCCGCGUGCGGGAUGACGGCCUUCGGGUUGUAAACCGCUUUCGCCUGUGACGAAGCGUGAGUGACGGUAAUGGGUAAAGAAGCACCGGCUAACUACGUG